rnacentral:rRNA from 1 species
GACGAACGCUGGCGGCGUGCUUAACACAUGCAAGUCGAACGAAGAGCGAUGGAAGCUUGCUUCUAUCAAUCUUAGUGGCGAACGGGUGAGUAACGCGUAAUCAACCUGCCCUUCAGAGGGGGACAACAGUUGGAAACGACUGCUAAUACCGCAUACGAUCUAACCUUGGCAUCGAGGAUGGAUGAAAGGUGGCCUCUAUUUAUAAGCUAUCACUGAAGGAGGGGAUUGCGUCUGAUUAGCUAGUUGGAGGGGUAACGGCCCACCAAGGCGAUGAUCAGUAGCCGGUCUGAGAGGAUGAACGGCCACAUUGGGACUGAGACACGGCCCAGACUCCUACGGGAGGCAGCAGUGGGGAAUCUUCCGCAAUGGACGAAAGUCUGACGGAGCAACGCCGCGUGAGUGAUGACGGCCUUCGGGUUGUAAAGCUCUGUUAAUCGGGACGAAAGGCCUUCUUGCGAACAGUUAGAAGGAUUG